GGCAGACGGGUGAGUAACGCGUGGGAAUCUACCCUUUACUACGGAAUAACGCAUGGAAACGUGUGCUAAUACCGUAUGUGUCCUUCGGGAGAAAGAUUUAUCGGUAAAGGAUGAGCCCGCGUUGGAUUAGCUAGUUGGUGGGGUAAAGGCCUACCAAGGCGACGAUCCAUAGCUGGUCUGAGAGGAUGAUCAGCCACAUUGGGACUGAGACACGGCCCAAACUCCUACGGGAGGCAGCAGUGGGGAAUAUUGGACAAUGGGCGCAAGCCUGAUCCAGCCAUGCCGCGUGAGUGAUGAAGGCCCUAGGGUUGUAAAGCUCUUUCACCGGAGAAGAUAAUGACGGUAUCCGGAGAAGAAGCCCCGGCUAACUUCGUG
rnacentral:rRNA from 1 species